rnacentral:rRNA from 1 species
GAAAGUCCGACGGUACAGGGUGAUAGUCCCGUACACCAAAAUGCACAGGUUGUGAACUCGAAGAGUAGGGCGGGACACGUGGUAUCCUGUCUGAAUAUGGGGGGACCAUCCUCCAAGGCUAAAUACUCCUGACUGACCGAUAGUGAACCAGUACCGUGAGGGAAAGGCGAAAAGAACCCCGGCGAGGGGAGUGAAAAAGAACCUGAAACCGUGUACGUACAAGCAGUGGGAGCACCUUCGGGUGUGACUGCGUACCUUUUGUAUAAUGGGUCAGCGACUUAUAUUCUGUAGCAAGGUUAACCGUAUAGGGGAGCCGCAGGGAAACCGAGUCUUAACUGGGCGUUAAGUUGCAGGGUAUAGACCCGAAACCCGGUGAUCUAGCCAUGGGCAGGUUGAAGGUUGGGUAACACUAACUGGAGGACCGAACCGACUAAUGUUGAAAAAUUAGCGGAUGACUUGUGGCUGGGGGUGAAAGGCCAAUCAAACCGGGAGAUAGCUGGUUCUCCCCGAAAGCUAUUUAGGUAGCGCCUCGUGAACUCAUCUUCGGGGGUAGAGCACUGUUUCGGCUAGGGGGUCAUCCCGACUUACCAACCCGAUGCAAACUACGAAUACCGAAGAAUGUUAUCACGGGAGACACACGGCGGGUGCUAACGUCCGUCGUGAAGAGGGAAACAACCCAGACCGCCAGCUAAGGUCCCAAAGUCAUGGUUAAGUGGGAAACGAUGUGGGAAGGCACAGACAGCCAGGAUGUUGGCUUAGAAGCAGCCAUCAUUUAAAGAAAGCGUAAUAGCUCACUGGUCGAGUCGGCCUGCGCGGAAGAUGUAACGGGGCUAAACCAUGCACCGAAGCUGCGGCAGCGACACUAUGUGUUGUUGGGUAGGGGAGCGUUCUGUAAGCCUGCGAAGGUGUGCUGUGAGGCAUGCUGGAGGUAUCAGAAGUGCGAAUGCUGACAUAAGUAACGAUAAAGCGGGUGAAAAGCCCGCUCGCCGGAAGACCAAGGGUUCCUGUCCAACGUUAAUCGGGGCAGGGUGAGUCGACCCCUAAGGCGAGGCCGAAAGGCGUAGUCGAUGGGAAACAGGUUAAUAUUCCUGUACUUGGUGUUACUGCGAAGGGGGGACGGAGAAGGCUAUGUUAGCCGGGCGACGGUUGUC